rnacentral:rRNA from 1 species
CACCCGCAGCUCGAGUGGUGGUCACCUUUAUUGAGCCUAAAGCGUUUGUAGCCGGUUUUGCAAAUCUUCAGAUAAAUUCCUCUGCUUAACAGAUGAUCUUCUGAAGAGACUGCGAGACUUGGGACCGGGUGAGGUUGAAGGUACUUCCGGGGUAGGGGUAAAAUCCUGUAAUCCUGGAAGGACGACCGGUGGCGAAGGCGUUCAACUAGAACGGAUCCGACGGUGAGGAACGAGGGCUAGGGUAGCAAACCGGAUUAGAUACCCGGGUAGUCCUAGCUGUAAACACUGCCCACUUGGUGUUGCCCCUCCGAUGAGGGGAGGCAGUGCCGGAGCGAAGGUGUUAAGUGGGCCGCUUGGGGAGUAUGGUCGCAAGGCUGAAACUUAAAGGAAUUGGCGGGGGAGCACCGCAACGGGAGGAGCUUGCGGUUUAAUUGGAUUCAACGCCGGAAAACUCACCGGGAGCGACCUUUGGAUGAGAGUCAGCCUGAUGAGCUUACUCGAUAGAAGGAGAGGUGGUGCAUGGCCGUCGUCAGCUCGUACCGUAGGGCGUUCACUUAAGUGUGAUAACGAGCGAGACCCCCAUCUCUAAUUGCUAACGUGCAUUCGCGUGCACGCGCACUUUAGAGGGACCGCCAGUGCUAAACUGGAGGAAGGAGGGGUCGACGGCAGGUCAGUACGCCCCGAAUCUCCCGGGCAACACGCGCGCUACAAAGGGCAGGACAAUGAGUUGCCACCUCGAAAGGGGGAGCUAAUCUCGAAACCUGCUCGUAGUUAGGAUCGAGGGCUGUAACUCGCCCUCAUGAAUGUGGAUUCCGUAGUAAUCGCGGGUCAACAGCCCGCGGUGAAUAUGCCCCUGCUCCU